rnacentral:rRNA from 1 species
GAUGAACGCUGGCGGCGUGCCUAAUACAUGCAAGUCGAGCGCAUGGACCAUAAGCUUGCCUCGCUGAUGUUAGCGGCGGACGGGUGAGUAACACGGGGAAAACCUACCGAUACCUCCGGGAUAACUUCGGAAAACACGUGCUAAUACCGGAUAAUAUUUUGUACCGCAUUGUUCAACAGUGAAAAACAGUCAUGCUCUCUCUUGUAGGUGGUUCCGCGGUGCAUUAGCUAGUUGGUAAGGUAACGGCUUACCAAGGCAACGAUGCAUAGCCGACCUGAGAGGGUGAUCGGCCACACUGGAACUGAGACACGGUCCAGACUCCUACGGGAGGCAGCAGUAGGGAAUCUUCGGCAAUGGGCGAAAGCCUGACGGAGCAACGCCGCGUGAGUGAUGAAGGUUUUCGGAUCGUAAAACUCUGUUAUUAGGGAAGAACAAAUGUGUAAGUAACUGUGCACAUCUUGACGGUACCUAAUCAGAAAGCCACGGCUAACUACGUG